UACGUAGGUGGCGAGCGUUAUCCGGAAUCAUUGGGCGUAAAGAGGGAGCAGGCGGCGAUACAGGUCUGUGGUGAAAUUCCGAAGCUAAACUUCGGCCAGCCAAAGAAACCGGAUCGCUAGAGUGCGGAAGAGGAUCGUGGAAUUCCAUGUGUAGCGGUGAAAUGCGUAGAUAUAUGGAGGAACACCAGUGGCGAAGGCGACGGUCUGGGCCGCAACUGACGCUCAUUCCCGAAAGCGUGGGGAGC
rnacentral:rRNA from 1 species